AUUGAACGCUGGCGGCAUGCCUUACACAUGCAAGUCGAACGGCAGCACGGGAGCAAUCCUGGUGGCGAGUGGCGAACGGGUGAGUAAAGUAUCGGAACGUGCCCAGUCGUGGGGGAUAACGUAGCGAAAGUUACGCUAAUACCGCAUACGAUCUACGGAUGAAAGCGGGGGAUCGCAAGACCUCGCGCGAUUGGAGCGGCUGAUAUCAGAUUAGGUAGUUGGUGGGGUAAAGGCUCACCAAGCCGACGAUCUGUAGCUGGUCUGAGAGGACGACCAGCCACACUGGGACUGCGACACGGCCCAGACUCCUACGGGAGGCAGCAGUGGGGAAUUUUGGACAAUGGGCGCAAGCCUGAUUCAGCCAUGCCGCGUGCAGGAUGAAGGCCUUCGGGUUGUAAACUGCUUUUGUACGGAACGAAACGGUCCUGGUUAAUACCCGGGGCUAAUGACGGUACCGUAAGAAUAAGCACCGGCUAACUACGUGCCAGCAGCCGCCGUAA
rnacentral:rRNA from 1 species